UACUGGACAAUGGGCGAAAGCCUGAACCAGCCAUGCCGCGUGUGUGAAGAAGGCCUUUUGGUUGUAAAGCACCUUAAGCGAGGAGGAGGCUACUGAGAUUAAUACUCUUGGAUAGUGGACGGUACUCGUAGAAUAAGCACCGGCUAACUCCGUGCCAGCAGCCGCGGUAAUACAGAGGGGGCGAGCGUUAAUCGGAUUUACUGGGCGUAAAGCGUGCGUAGGCGGCUUUUUAAGUCGGAUAUGAAAUCCCUGAGCUUAACUUAGGAAUUGCAUUCGAUACUGGGAAGCUAGAGUAUGGGAGAGGAUGGUAGAAUUCCAGGUGUAGCGGUGAAAUGCGUAGAGAUCUGGAGGAAUACCGAUGGCGAAGGCAGCCAUCUGGCCUAAUACUGACGCUGAGGUACGAAAGCAUGGGGAGCAAACAGG
rnacentral:rRNA from 1 species